rnacentral:lncRNA from 1 species
UUGGGACAUAUUCCAUGAUUGUAGCUUCUUUUUGCUUUACCAUUCUCGUCUUUCCAAUUCUCUGGCCUCCUUUUUCUGCUCCUUACCGUAAAGCUUCUACUGUUUGACACAUUAAGUAGCAGAUAACUAAUCAGUUUCAACACUCAUUGAUACUGACAUUGAAUUGAUUUUCUGAGAUUGAAUAUUGAAAAAUGGCGGGUGAGUGGAGCUGGGAGCAGAAGAUGUUAAUCAAUGAGCUAAUUCAAGGGAUGGAACAAGCCAAACAGUUGAAGGUUCAACUGGGUACGAAAUCCACUGCCCAAACCAGACAAGUGCUUGUGCAGAAUAUAUUAUCUUCUUAUGAGAAGGCUCUUUCGAUCUUGAAAUGGGGUGGAUCAAUCACUCAUCCUCAAACUGUUGAACCUGAGUCCCCUCUGUCCAUCAACGGCAGUCCAGGGAGUGACUAUUUUGAUGUGUCUCUUAAGGACAGUCAAGACACCAAAGGGUAUUCAAAGAAGAGGUGAAGUAAUACAUACCCAUAUACGUUAAGUUUCCUGUCAUGUUGCAGCAACAUUAACAGGUUUUCUGACAUUGCAUUGCAGAAAGAUGUUGCCAAAAUGGACAGAACACAUGAGAGUUAGCACUGAGACAGGAUUUGAAGGACCAGUUGAUGAUGGCUAUAGCUGGAGAAAAUAUGGACAGAAAGAUAUAUUAGGAGCUAAAUAUCCUAGGUGACGUGUCUUUCAUAACUUACAUUAAUAUAAACAUCAGCAGAAAAAGAAAGAUAUAAAAGUUUUUUAUAAAGGAAAAUUGGUACCUGCCUUUUUACGGUAAAAAGAAUCUGACAGAGAUUGUUGCAUGUGCAGGAGCUAUUACAGAUGCACUUACCGCAACACACAGAACUGUUGGGCUACAAAGCAAGUUCAACGGUCAGACAAGGAUCCCACCAUAUUUGAAGUU